rnacentral:rRNA from 1 species
AUUGAACGCUGGCGGCAGGCCUAACACAUGCUAGUCGAACGAGUGGCGGACCGGUGUGUAAUGCCUCGGAAACUGCCUGAUGGAGGUGGAUAACUCCUGGAAACGGUAGCUCCUACCGCAUACCAUCAGAUGUGCCCAGAUGGGAUUAGCUUGUUGGUGGGGUAACGGCUCACCAAGGCGACGAUCCCGAGCUGGUCUGAGAGGAUGACCAGCCAAACGGUAACUGAGACACGGUCCGAACUCCUACGGGAGGAAGAAGUGGUGAAUAUGGGACAAUGGGGGAAGGGCUGAUGGAGCAGUGCAGCGUGGAUGAAGAAGGCCGGCGGGUUGUAAAGUACAAGCGACGGGGGGGCGUUACCCGCAGAAGAAGGACCGGCGAACGCCGUGCCAGCAGCCGCGGUAAUAC